rnacentral:rRNA from 1 species
UACGGAGGGUGCGAGCGUUGUCCGGAAUCACUGGGCGUAAAGGGCGCGUAGGUGGCGCGGGAAGUCAACGGUGAAAGUUCGGGGCUCAACCCUGAAUCGGCCGUCGAUACUCCCGGGCUCGAGCACUGUAGAGGCAGAUGGAAUUCCGGGUGUAGCGGUGGAAUGCGUAGAGAUCCGGAAGAACACCGGUGGCGAAGGCGGCUUGCUGGACCUGGUCUGACGCUGAGGCGCGAAAGCGUGGGGAUCAAACAGG